UACGGAGGGUGCAAACGUUGCUCGGAAUCAUUGGGCGUAAAGCGCACGUAGGCGGUCUGUUAAGUCGGAUGUGAAAGCCCCGGGCUCAACCCGGGAAGUGCAUACGAAACUGGCGGACUUGAAUAUGGAAGAGGGUCGCGGAAUUCCCGGUGUAGAGGCGAAAUUCGUAGAUAUCGGGAGGAACACCAGUGGCGAAGGCGGCGACCUGGGCCAAUAUUGACGCUAAUGUGCGAAAGCGUGGGGAGCAAACAGG
rnacentral:rRNA from 1 species